ACAAGUGGCAUAAUCCUUGUUAAUCAACUUAACAUAUUUUAUUCAAUCUGGCUAAUGAUCUCUUGCUGUGUCAUCAGCACAUGGAGAAUGCAUACCCUGGUUCAAAUGUUCUGAUUGUAACGUUGACCAAUGGGGAAUCGAAACGAAUCGAGUCUCAAUCGAAAAUGGCCCAGGCAUGCAAUGGAGGCAAUGGAUAUGUCCUCACGGCGAUGCUGCUAAGCCCUAAAGAUCUGUCGUGCCAGUUCUGAAUUUUGGAGGGAAUUGAUAUAGGGAUAUGUAAUGAUGGUUCAUUGGAGGAAGAAAUGAGAGAGAAAGUGCAGAGUUUGAUUCUCAAUCAAAACCUCAGGAGAUGGGUCCUUUACUGACUCCAAUAAUUCGAUUUAGAGCCGGUCCAAUUCACUGAACUGUUGAUUUGGGCCAAGAAGAUAUGAAGUCAAACAUUGAAAGGCAGGCACAGACAUGGUAUUUAUGCAGAUGAAUAUGUAGUUUAGCAUCACUGCAGGGAAAGACAAAGAGCAGACAAAGAAAUCUUUAAGCCACGAUUGUAGCAAUCCAAUGACACAGAGAAUGCCACGUAAGCACUAAGCACAGUCCCUUAAAAUCCCAAACUUUUUAAACCUUGAAAAAUCCUAAUACCUUAUUCAAUCAUCUGCAAAUAUCACAAAGCCAAAAACCCAAAACCUCCCCCAAUUCCAUUAUUGAAACUUUCCCAACAAUACAUAUAAAUAUACACUUAUAGGUCCUUAAUUCAAAGCAAUUAGAAAAAUGGAUAUGGAAACGGUGAAUAUGGUGAUGUGCUAAUUCACUGACCGGGAAGGGGCGGUUUUUGGAAGCUCCCUUGUAUCUUCCACAGGAUGCCGGUCCUCAACAGCUUCAACAAAUCGUCAAUUAGCUUCUCCACAAUGAAGAGAAGUUGCCGUAUUUUUUCUACAUAUCAGACUAGGAGCUUCUUGUUCCACUUGAAACUUACUUAUAGAAAAAUAAAGGUCAACGAGGUUACAAAGAAGGGAAAAAAA